CUCAUCUGCUCAAAUCUUGGGUAACCUCUAAACACAGGACAGUAUCAAAGCUAGAUUAAAUCCUUUAGAAUCACACAGAAAGGUUCCUGUCAGAGAUUGUGGCAAAAUGAGGUCACAGAGGCUCCAGACUGGAACAAAGUGAACAUUUGCAUAUUAAUCACAUCCAGGUUUUGCAGUCCCAGUAGCACACUUGGACCAAAAGCAGUGACCAAAUGGAGCAAUCAGCUUGUAGCACUAGAUCUGGUGAACAGUGAUGCAGAAGAAAGCAGAGGACAUCAGAAAAUGUCAACAUGACAUCAUGAUCAGCAGCUUUCUUUUAUUGGUUCAAAUGUAAACCUUUUGGAGAAUUAAAU